UCGGGAAUAUUGCGCAAUGGAGGAAACUCUGACGCAGUGACGCCGCGUGCAGGAAGAAGGUUUUCGGAUUGUAAACUGCUUUAGACAGGGAAGAAACAAGACAGUACCUGUAGAAUAAGCUCCGGCCAACUACGUGCCAGCAGCCGCGGUAAUACGCAGGGAGCGAGCGUUAUCCGGAUUUUAUUGGGUGUAAAGGGUGCGUAGACGGGAGAACAAGUUAGUUGUGAAAGCCCUCGGCUUAACUGAGGAACUGCAACUAAAACUAUUUUUCUUGAGUACUGGAGAGGAAAGUGGAAUUCCUAGUGUAGCGGUGAAAUGCGUAGAUAUUAGGAGGAACACCAGUGGCGAAGGCGACUUUCUGGACAGAAACUGACGUUGAGGCACGAAAGUGUGGGGAGCAAACAGGAUUAGAUACC
rnacentral:rRNA from 1 species